rnacentral:lncRNA from 1 species
AUGAAUCUGAAGAAAAAAACUGGCAAUGAGAAUAGAAGAAUCGCAAACAAUGUAGCAGGCCCUUGCCAAGAUUUAAAUACAGAAGAAACAUUCAAAAGGACGGUAUCAAAUUAUCACAAAGAUGAAGAAAAAUCUUCAAGCAAGAAAGUCCAGUCCUGCCUCAGCAUUCUUCAUCUGGACCGCAGACGUGUUAAAAAGCACCUAAUGCGUGCAGGGUAUCAUGUGAGGAUAUGCAGAGUUGAGAGCAGUGCUGUGCAGAUGUUUUGUAGGCUCCUACCAGUGAAAGUCUCGUCACAACUCUCUUCUCUUCAAGAUUUUCUUUGCUGUUGA